CACGCCGUAAACUAAUGCGCGUUAGGUGUAUCGGUGACCACGAGUUACCGAGGUGCCGAAGGGAAACCGUGAAACGUGCCGCCUGGGAAGUACGGUCGCAAGGCUGAAACUUAAAAGGAAAUUGGCGGGGGGAGGCACCACAACAGGUGGAGCCUGCGGUUUAAUUUGGACUCAACGCCGGGAAGCUCACCGGAUAGGACAGCAGAAUGAUUGCCGGGCUGAAGACCCUGCAUGACUAGCUGAGAGGAGGUGCAUGGCGUAGACGUCU
rnacentral:rRNA from 1 species